GAUGAACGCUGGCGGCGUGCCUAAUACAUGCAAGUCGAGCGAACAGACGAGGAGCUUGCCCCUCUGACGUUAGCGGCGGACGGGUGAGUAACACGUGGAUAACCUACCUAUAAGACUGGGAUAACUUCGGGAAACCGGAGCUAAUACCGGAUAAUAUAUUGAACCGCAUGGUUCAAUAGUGAAAGACGGUUUUGCUGUCACUUAUAGAUGGAUCCGCGCCGCAUUAGCUAGUUGGUAAGGUAACGGCUUACCAAGGCAACGAUGCGUAGCCGACCUGAGAGGGUGAUCGGCCACACUGGAACUGAGACACGGUCCAGACUCCUACGGGAGGCAGCAGUAGGGAAUCUUCCGCAAUGGGCGAAAGCUUGACGGAGCAACGCCGCGUGAGUGAUGAAGGUCUUCGGAUCGUAAAACUCUGUUAUUAGGGAAGAACAAAUGUGUAAGUAACGAUGCACGUCUUGACGGUACCUAAUCAGAAAGCCACGGCUAACUACGU
rnacentral:rRNA from 1 species